AUUGAACGCUGGCGGCAGGCCUAACACAUGCAAGUCGAGCGGAGCGGCGGACGGGUAAGUAAUGCCUAGGAAUCUGCCUGGUAGUGGGGGAUAACGUCCGCAAACGGGCGCUAAUACCGCGUACUAUCAGAUGAGACUAUGUCGGAUUGGCUAGCUGGUGGGGUAAAGGCCUACCAAGGCGAAGAUCCGUAACUGGUCCGAGAGGAUGAUCAGUCACACUGGAACUGAGGCACGGUCCGGACUCCGACGGGAGGCAGCAGUGGGGAAUAUUGUACAAUGGUCGAAAGCCUGAUCCAGCCAUGCCGCGUGUGUGAAGAAGGUCUUCGGAUUGUAAAGCACUUUAAGUUGGGAGGCGUUACCAACAGAAUAAGCACCGGCUAACUUCGUGCCAGCAGCCGCGGUAAUAC
rnacentral:rRNA from 1 species